GUGCCAGCAGCCGCGGUAAAACGUAGGAGCCAAGCGUUAUCCGAAUUUACUGGGCGUAAAGCGCGUGCAGGCGGUUCUGUAAGUGGGCUGUGAAAUCUCCUGGCUCAACUGGGAGAGGCCGGUCCAGACUGCGGGACUGGAGGGCGGUAGAGGGAGGUGGAAUUCCCGGUGUAGUGGUGAAAUGCGUAGAGAUCGGGAGGAACACCAGUGGCGAAAGCGGCCUCCUGGACCGUACCUGACGCUCAGACGCGAAAGCUAGGGGAGCGAACGGGAUUAGAAACCCUCGUAGUCC
rnacentral:rRNA from 1 species